AUACGAAGGGUGCAAGCGUUAAUCGGAAUUACUGGGCGUAAAGCGCGCGUAGGUGGUUCAGUAAGUUGGAAGUGAAAUCCCCGGGCUCAACCUGGGAACUGCUUUCAAAACUGCUGAGCUAGAGUACGGUAGAGGGUGGUGGAAUUUCCUGUGUAGCGGUGAAAUGCGUAGAUAUACGAAGGAACACCAGUGGCGAAGGCGACCACCUGGACUGAUACUGACACUGAGGUGCGAAAGCGUGGGGAGCAAACAGGAUUAGAUACCCCAGUAGUCC
rnacentral:rRNA from 1 species